AUCUUGCUGAUAUUCUUUUAUUAGUAUAACACAGCAAUUGUUUUACUUUCAUAACUGACGCGGGAAGCUCAGCGAUGCUGGGCCAUGAACUGCCCGGCCCAGAGGUGCCGGGAAUCAGCCUGGCACAAAUGAAGCCCUGAGCGGAGUGAAAAGAGCAUGAGACUCACAGGGGCUUCCCAGCAUUUGACUGGACAUCAUCCCAGUGAGACAUUUAAUUCAACGUAGUUAAAAGAGCCAGAAUGAAUUUAUCUCUGUGUGAGAAACGGGGCAAAGUCCCACAAAAGAAAAAUUACAACACGGGAAAUGCUGCUUGUACCUAGCCCUGCAUGAGUAAAAGAUUAUUCGACUGCAGUGGGAAGGGAAGGGUUAAAAAGGACUUUGCCCGUAAGGGUCUCUGUGGGGAGGCUUUGGCAGUGUGCUUUGGAGAUGGACAGAGAGCAGAUUGCCGAGUUACAGCAGACAAGGAAAUAAACCCGUUUUGAUCGCCCUGGUUAACUCCCAAACGGGGAGACCUGCCCUUUUACAGUCUUUAUGUUCCUCCACCUGGGAAUGAGGUAGAUACUGGCAGCAGCAGCCAGUGAGCAGGGAGCAGAUUUGCAUGAAGGGGCCGUUCUCCAGCGCUGGGGGUUUAAGAGAGAAUCGGAGGGUCCCAGCCACAGACCCGUUUACCUCAGGAAGCCGAGCUCGUCUGGAUUCCCCACCAUGGCCUGGGCCCCUCUGCUCCUCACACUGCUCACGUACUGCUCGGGGUCCCUCUCCCAGUACACUCUGACUCAGCCGCCCGCAGAAUCCGUGUCCAUUGGCAACACAGUUAAACUCUCCUGCGCCCUUAGCAGUGGAUACACAUUUGGAAGUGUUGUGUGGUACCAGCAAAAAAAUGGGAACAUCCCAAGAUACCUUCUGAGGUACAAGACGGACUCUGACAAGCACCAGGGCUCUGGGAUCCCCAGUCGUUUUGCUGGUUCCAAAGACGCCUCUAAUACAAUCGGCUACUUAACCAUCACCAGCGUCCAAGCAGAGGAUGAGGCUGAUUAUUACUGUGCUACAGGGACUGCACAGUGAUGCAGCCAAAUGGGGAACUCAGACACAAACCUCCCACUUCUGUCCUUCAGCCUCUGCCCAGCACGAGUUCAUCACGUGUCACUGUUACUGCUGCUGUUCUGUGGGCUCAUGGGGCCAGUCCCCUGUCACAGUAACUCACAAGCUUUACCACCUUCUGACUAGUUAAUGCCAAAUCUUCUUCCCAUUGGAACCAGUUGGCGUUUGGCCUUUCACUUUAGUAGAGGCAGGACCUGACUCUUAAUACAACUUUAGUCCUUAGUUAGGUUAAAUUAUAAUUCUAAACAAAAUCAGAAAACAUUUUAAAAUCUGCUUCCCAAAUAUGUGCGGUGAGCUAAGGCAGUUCCUGUUAAACACAAGUGUGUAGUUAAAUGAAGAUCCAGUGAGAUUCUUAGAAUGAACAGCCGGGAGUUAGAUCCCAGACAUUUCACACACACACCGCGGGGGGAGGGGAGGGAAGAAGAGUCCAUCAGGGUAGGAAAAGUCUCAUUAGGAAAGUGUGAGCCUGCAAAUGACUCUGUUAAUAGAGAUCAAAGCCUCACUGGGACUCACUGAGUAGAAAGAUCCCUUCCCCUGCAUGCCCCCUCCCCUCCAGAACCCUGCCCUGUACUUGUCUGAUGAGUUACAGGGGGCUCCUGAGUCCAUGAUGUCUCUAGAUAUAAACUAUUAACACGCAAGGGGAGUGUGAAGGCAGCCACAUUCCUAAGGCUAAACCUGAGCUGCGAGUAGCUGGGAAUUGGAAUGAAUCUCUCCUUAAACUAGGGUGACCAGCCAUCCCGAUUUUAUCGGGACUGUCCCAAUUUUUGCUUCUUUGUCCCGCGUCCCGACCGAUGUUUGGUCAGGACACUGGACAAAAAAGAAA